UACGUAGGGUGCGAGCGUUAAUCGGAAUUACUGGGCGUAAAGCGUGCGCAGGCGGUUCGCAAAGUCUGAUGUGAAAGCCCCGGGCUCAACCUGGGAACUGCAUUGGAAACUAACGGGCUCGAGUGUGGCAGAGGGGGGUGGGAAUUCCACGUGUAGCAGUGAAAUGCGUAGAUAUGUGGAGGAACACCGAUGGCGAAGGCAGCCCCCUGGGUCAAAACUGACGCUCAUGCACGAAAGCGUGGGGAGCAAACAGG
rnacentral:rRNA from 1 species